GUGAGGAAUAUUGGACAAUGGCCGAGAGGCUGAUCCAGCCAUGCCGCGUGCGGGAAGACGGCCCUAUGGGUUGUAAACCGCUUUUGUUGGAGAGCAAUAAGAGUCACGUGUGACUUGAUGAGAGUAUCCAGCGAAUAAGCAUCGGCUAACUCCGUGCCAGCAGCCGCGGUAAUACGGAGGAUGCAAGCGUUAUCCGGAUUUAUUGGGUUUAAAGGGUGCGUAGGCGGAUGAUUAAGCGUGAGGUGAAAUGCCACGGCUCAACCGUGGAACUGCCUCGCGAACUGGUUGUCUGGAAUGCCCCUGCCGUGGGAGGAAUGUGUGGUGUAGCGGUGAAAUGCAUAGAGAUCACACAGAACACCGAUUGCGAAGGCAUCUCACGAAGGGGUGAUUGACGCUGAGGCACGAAAGCGUGGGGAUCAAACAGG
rnacentral:rRNA from 1 species